rnacentral:rRNA from 1 species
UGACCGCUGGCGGCGUGCCUAAUACAUGCAAAUCGAGCGAACAGACGAGGAGCUUGCUCCUCUGACGUUAGCGGCGGACGGGUGAGUAACACGUGGAUAACCUACCUAUAAGACUGGGAUAACUUCGGGAAACCGGAGCUAAUACCGGAUAAUAUAUUGAACCGCAUGGUUCAAUAGUGAAAGACGGUUUUGCUGUCACUUAUAGAUGGAUCCGCGCCGCAUUAGCUAGUUGGUAAGGUAACGGCUUACCAAGGCAACGAUGCGUAGCCGACCUGAGAGGGUGAUCGGCCACACUGGAACUGAGACACGGUCCAGACUCCUACGGGAGGCAGCAGUAGGGAAUCUUCCGCAAUGGGCGAAAGCUUGACGGAGCAACGCCGCGUGAGUGAUGAAGGUCUUCGGAUCGUAAAACUCUGUUAUUAGGGAAGAACAAAUGUGUAAGUAACUAUGCACGUCUUGACGGUACCUAAUCAGAAAGCCACGGCUAACUACGUG